CAAUUGCAUCAACAUUUUGGGGGCAGAGAGAAGUCAUGAAAAAAUUUAAUGAAUUCAUCGAUCAAGUUCUAUACGAAUUGGAUGAACUUUGUUAACCGUAGGUAAACUAACAAAAUAAAAAGGUUCUCAUAUCUUUGUAUUCAUGAUUCAACUUCUUGCCCCUCUACACGCUAAGGAGAAAAAAACAUGUUGUCGCGAUCCUAGACAAUAUAAAUAUUUACCUCCGAAAUAUAAAUUUGCAUGUACCUAAGAGGUGAUUAGUAUACUAUUACUUGUGAAUGACAAAUCAACCAAGCAUUUUUUUCCUAAAUGUCUUGUGUAUCCUAAUGAUGUGACCUCACAUUUUUUCUAAAAUGGAUGACCACAUCCAACAAUAGAAUUUCUAAGGAGUUCUCUUGGAUCUGGAGGUUGGAGGUAUCAAUUAGAUUAAAAUCUUCAUCUGUCUAUUCUCUCAUGGCUGAUUACCGUUCCGGCCAACCUAUUUGCAAGUUCAGUAAAAAUGGAGUUGAAAUCAUUGAUCACAACUUCUUUCAAUGUCAGAGAGCCAACACCUUCUGGAGAAAUAUGGCUAAAGCAACAAAUAUAUUGUUGUAAUUGAUUCAACAAUGGUCAACUGGAAAAGCACCUAGGAGGCUAGCAAGGGCAUGGAAUUCAACAACGGGAUCUCAUGGGAAAUGAUCACACCCUUUUGCCUUUGGGGACUUUGGAUUAAAAAAAAUGACAACAUUUUCAACGAUAAGAACUACCACGUCCAAAUAGAUCACAUCAUUGCACAAACCACUGAAUUCAAGCUCAUCGUAGCCAAAAGCAAUAGGACUAAAACCAUUAGAAUGGAUGUCCAAGUCAAAAGGAUCUUUCCAUCCCAAGGGGCAUACUACAAUUGUGUAACGAUGGCAACAAAGAUCACAAGUAUUUACACAGAGGUCAAACAUACAAGCAAUCUCUGGCACAUUUUCCUUACAUCCAAUGGAAGAUCUGAAGAGCAUAUCUCUUGAAGCUAUGUUCUGGCUUCCACAAGCCCACCAGAAAUUUUCUGUAAGACUGCCUCUUCACUUGCCAUUAAAGAUGCUAGUAACUUGGCACCAGCAAUCCUCUCCUGGUCGGAAUUAAACAAAAACACAUUAACCACGAGUAUGAAAUUAAUUCUCACAACGUGCUUCCAAAUAAUACUAGGAUUCACUUCUUUAUAGGCGAUAGAAGCAGCAGGCAAAUCCUCAUGAUCAGACCCAAAUGAAAAAAACGAGCAGCAGCAUGCACAAUAAUGAAAAGGAAAAAGGAAACCAGAGAGAAAGUUACGCCCAAUGGCAAAUUUAGCAGAUAAUAGCUUGUGAUGGCCCUUUUUUACCACAUCAAUAAAAUUUGAUAGUGACAGGUUUUGGUUCCACAGGGUGAUGCAAUGGAAUGAAGACACUAGGUGGACGCUGACCAAACACAUUACCACCACAAAAGCACCAAGACUGUUUGUGGUCAAGGAGAGAACCUUAAACAGGGCCAGACGAUUAGAUGCUUUAUACAAACUUGACCCUCCAUUUCCAAGGAAGAGCAUAUAUUUCAAAAGUAAAGCCUGUUUUAUUUUAGAAAGGGAUACAUAAUUUAAUAGUCCCUCCAUC